CUAUUUCUCAAACGUUGUCAUUUCAAAAACCCCAUGAACCUCGUUCUUUUCUGUGCGCUUUAUUUUGGCAUAAAGCGCACUCGAAUACGCGGCUGCUAUUGGUCGCUGCGGU
rnacentral:lncRNA from 1 species